GAUCCUGGCUCAGGAUGAACGCUAGCUACAAGCUUAACAACGUGCAAGUCGAGGGGCAGCAUGAACUUAGCUUACUAAGUUUGAUGGCGACCGGCGCACGGGUGAGUAACACGUAUCCAACCUGCCGAUGACUCGGGGAUAGGCCUUUCGAAAGAAAGAUUAAUACCCGAUGGCAUAGUUCUUCCGCAUGGUAGGAACUAUUAAAGAAUUUCGGUCAUCGAUGGGGAUGCGUUCCAUUAGGUUGUUGGCGGGG
rnacentral:rRNA from 1 species